rnacentral:rRNA from 1 species
GAUGAACGCUGGCGGCGUGCCUAAUACAUGCAAGUCGAACGAAACUUCUUUAUCACCGAGUGCUUGCACUCACCGAUAAAGAGUUGAGUGGCGAACGGGUGAGUAACACGUGGGCAACCUGCCCAAAAGAGGGGGAUAACACUUGGAAACAGGUGCUAAUACCGCAUAACCAUAGUUACCGCAUGGUAACUAUGUAAAAGGUGGCUAUACUACCGCUUUUGGAUGGGCCCGCGGCGCAUUAGCUAGUUGGUAGGGUAAAGGCUUACCAAGGCAAUGAUGCGUAGCCGAAUUGAGAGGUUGAUCGGCCACAUUGGGACUGAGACACGGCCCAAACUCCUACGGGAGGCAGCAGUAGGGAAUCUUCCACAAUGGGCGAAAGCCUGAUGGAGCAACGCCGCGUGGGUGAAGAAGGUCUUCGGAUCGUAAAACCCUGUCGUUAGAGAAGAAAGUGCGUGAGAGUAACUGUUCACGUUUCGACGGUAUCUAACCAGAAAGCCACGGCUAACUACGUG